rnacentral:lncRNA from 10 species
GGGAACGCCUCGACGCCCGGCUACUGCGUGCGGGGUGCUGCCUCGGGGCGUGCGGGGCUCGGCCCAUCCUGCGCGGUAGGGAUACCGCCGUGGUUUAAACGCGGUCCCUGUGAGGAAGGAACUGUAAUGGGAGAGGCAGAUAACCUGGCAAUUACCACAGCGUGAAAGGGGGCUGUAGUGGGGGAAGCGCUAGGUACUGUUGUGCACAGUGGAAACCCACCCCCGGAAGCGGGUGGGGAGCUUGGCUAAGUGGAGGACAGCUUGGAGCACCCCAAGAACUGAGCAUAGUUCCGGCGAGUUGCAUUGUGGGGCUUGGGAGGGCAGUUGUUGGAGGACAGGGAGGAGAGGUAGGCAAGGGCAUUAAAAACGCCCUAAGGGGCUUGGGUGUUUUUGUUUUUCAAAAGAUCACAUUCCAUUUCUUUGACCUUCUUAAAAAGAUAGGGGUAGGGAUGAGGGAGAGUACGACUAUGAAAGGAUAGCAUGAGGUUGUUUUGGGGACUAAUAGAUGGCAGUGGCCACAAGAAUCUAUACAUGUGUUAAAAUUCACAGAAGGCCGGGCACGGUGGCUCACUCCUGUAAUCCCAGCACUUUGGGAGGCCGAGGUGGGCGGACCACCUGAGGUCAGGAGUUCGAGACCAGCCUGACCAACAUAGUGAAACUUCGUGGCUACUAAAAAUACAAAAUUAGCCAGGCGUGGGUGGUGGCACACGCCUGUAGUCCCAGCUACUUGGGAGACUGAGGCAGGAGAAUCACUUGAACCCGGGAAGCAGAGGUUGCAGUGAGCCGAGAUCGUGCCACUGCACUCCAGCCUGGGCGACAGAGCAAGACUCCACCUCAAAAAAAUAAAUAAAAAUAAAAAUUCGCAGAACUGCACAUCCCAAAGAAUCUGUUUUUCUGUAUGGUUAUUUUUAAAAAUUCACGUACACUCAUCUCUGCCUCAGGAAGCAAGGGGCUUGGAUUUUAGUCUGAGGCACCAGUACUAGAGUACUGCUAGGUUUUGAGCUGGGAACGGUUGUGAUUAGAUUUGUAUUCCAGAAAACUCACUCUUCCUGUAGCAUGAAGAAUGGACUGGAGGGAAGCAAGACUAGAGGCGCCGGCGGAAACUGAGACUGCGCACGGCGCUUGCGGGCCAGCCCGAGUUCCGGGUGGGCGUGGGCUCGGCGGGCUCGGUGGGCCCGGCACUCAGCGCGGCCGGCCGUCCCCGCUGGCCACGGGCAGUUGGGGGGAGCUUAGCACCUGGGCCAGGAGCUGCUGUGCUCGAUUUCUCGCCAGGCCUUAGCUGCCUCCCCGCAGGGCAGGGCUCGGGACCUGCAGCCUGCCAUGCCUGAGCCUCCCUGAGGAGCGCCGCUCCCUGCUCCACGGCGCCCAGUCCCAUCGACCGCCCAAGGGCUGAGGAGUGCGGGCGCAGGGCCGGGGACUGGCAGGCAGCUCCACCUGCGCCUGGGUGUGGGAUCCACUGGGUGAAGCCAGCUGGGCUCCUGAGUCUGGUGGGGACUUGGAGAACCUUUAUGUCUAGCUAAGGGAUUGUGAAUGCACCAAUGGGCACUCUGUGUCUAGCUCAAGGUUUGUAAAUGCACCAAUCAGCACCCCGUGUCUAGCUAAUCUAGUGGGGACUUGGAGAACUUUUGUGUCUAGCUCAGGGAUUGUAAAUGCACCAAUCAGCACCCUGUCAAAACGGACCAAUCAGCUCUCUGUAAAGUGAACCAAUCAGCAGGAUGUGGGUGGGGCCAGAUAAGGGAAUAAAAGCAGGCUGCCCGAGCCAGCAGUAGUAACCCUAUGGAGUCUCUUUCUGUCGUGUGGAAGGUUUGUUCUUUCGCUUUUUGCAAUAACUCUUGCUGCUGUUUACUCUGGGCCCACACUGCCUUUAUAAGCUGUAACACUCGCUGCGAAGGUCUGCCGCUUCACUCCUGAAGCCAGUGAGACCACGAACCCACCGGGAUGAAUGAACAACUCAGAUGGGCCACCAUAAGAGCUGUAACACUCACCAUGAGGGUCUACAGCUUCACUCCUGGUCCAGCUAGACCACGAAUCCACCAGAAGGAAGAAACUCCAAACACAUCCGAACAUCAGAAGGAACAAAUUCCGGACAUGCUGCCUUUAAGAACUGUGACACUCACCACGAGGAUCCACGGCUUCAUUCUUUAAGUUAGACCAAGAACCCACCAAUUCCGGACACAUGUUGAGGAACCAAUGUCUCCAGCCAACAGCCAGUAAGGACCUGAGGCCUGACAACAAUCAGGGACUUUUCACAGUGCCUGGCAGAGUUUGGACACUACGUAUGUGCUGAAUAAUAUGUGAAAUUUUCUGAUGGGUGCCACGAAGUCAAAUAGAAGAUGACUUUGGAGAUAAUGUUAAAAUAUUUA